rnacentral:rRNA from 1 species
GAGUUUGAUCCUGGCUCAGGAUGAACGCUGGCGGCGUGCCUAAUACAUGCAAGUCGAGCGAACAGACGAGGAGCUUGCUCCUCUGACGUUAGCGGCGGACGGGUGAGUAACACGUGGAUAACCUACCUAUAAGACUGGGAUAACUUCGGGAAACCGGAGCUAAUACCGGAUAAUAUAUUGAACCGCAUGGUUCAAUAGUGAAAGACGGUUUUGCUGUCACUUGUAGAUGGAUCCGCGCCGCAUUAGCUAGUUGGUAAAGUAACGGCUUACCAAGGCAACGAUGCGUAGCCGACCUGAGAGGGUGAUCGGCCACACUGGAACUGAGACACGGUCCAGACUCCUACGGGAGGCAGCAGUAGGGAAUCUUCCGCAAUGGGCGAAAGCCUGACGGAGCAACGCCGCGUGAGUGAUGAAGGUCUUCGGAUCGUAAAACUCUGUUAUUAGGGAAGAACAAAUGUGUAAGUAACUAUGCACGUCUUGACGGUACCUAAUCAGAAAGCCACGGCUAACUACGUGCCAGCCC